GCAUAAAUACAUCAAUACCAAAUUUAUUCAGACAUAACCAGACUAAUAAAAGUUAUCUUUGGCCUCUACAAUUACAAGAGGUGCUCAAAGUGGUGGCCACUGGCUUCCAGACAUUUCUGUUGUGUUGUAGACGUCACUUGUUGAUGCUCCAUUCAUGAGGGUAGCGCCAUCUGUUGGGAAAACAUCGUACAACAGGACACACAGUUAUCGUGAUUUGCUCAAACUUAGAAAGAGGAAUCUAUAUGUGUAGAAGUACUUAUACAAAUGAAAUAUUUAUAAAAGUUUUUUUUCCUGAUGUGUGUACAUUAUUUUGGCUGACUCUGACUCUGUGAACUUAAUGAGAACAAAACUGUCAUUUAAUUGUUGCUCUUAAAGCUUCUUUAGUGAAAACCAGCUGGUGUUCUGCUUUGAAACAAACUGCUGUUGAGGUCUGUGUUUUUAGGUUUAACCCCACAGUUUCUGAAUGAACUGAUGGUUUGUUUUUUUUUCCUGAUCAAUGUGGACGUUAUAAUUGAUGGUAACAUUUACUGAUCAUAUAAUCAGCAUGACAAUAUAACAGUAUAACAUUCUGACCACCUGACUAAUACUGUGUUGGUCCCUUUAUGCUGCUAAAACUCCUCUGACCCAGUGGUUCAUCAGAACCUCUGGGGAUGUCCUGUGGAUCCUGUGGGUUGCAGGGUGGGUCCUACCUAGACCAGGCUGAUCCUGGACCAUCCCACAGAUGCUCAAUCAGAUCUGGAUGUGGGGAGUGUGGAACCCAGAUGUUCAGAGGGAGAUGAUGCCACAUCUGGUCCAGCUGAUGGAAGGUCUUGAAGUUCUCUGACUGGCCUCGACUGAAGAUGGUCGUCUCACUGGAUUUAAGGUUCAGAUGCUCAGUAACAAACUCUACCAAUGAGCCAACAGGGAAGCUUUAGGUUUAUUAAAUGUUGCUAUGAAGGUUUCACUGUUUUUCUUUGUGAAUGCAAUGUGCUCCAACUGAAACUUGAAUUAGAACUUAGAAGUAAAUCCUUCCAUCUGAAAGGAUUUAGUUGCAUUAAUAACCUCAUAACAUUCUAAUUUUUAUUUCAGCCUUAGUUGGAAAUAGAAUCUCUGUAUUGAUUCAGGUAAAAACUGAACUUCACAGCAUGUUGAAGCAAAACAACCAGAUGCAAACUGUGAUGGUGUUGGAUUGUCAGACCGUAAUGUUGCAGCUCAAAGCAGCUUUUCUAUCUCAGUUCAUUCUGACAUUCAGCUAUGAAUCAACACAGCAGAUGGUGAUCCAUGCUGUGGAAGUCUCACAUCUCCUGAUUUAAUGGAGCUGCUUUGCACUUUUUACACUGUUUAUUCACCAAGACUUUAUUUAAUAAAAGUCCCAUCUAGUUUUUAUGAGGAAUGUGAUGUUUUAAUUCCUCUGUGAAUAACUGCAGUCUAAUGGAACAGCUGGAGUUGUAACAUCUGUCCUGAUAUUGAUCAUGAAGUAUUGAUCAGAAUACUUAUGGUUAGCAGUCAUCCCUGAAGUUUUAUAUUAAAAUCUUUACUUGUGUUGUGAACUUUGGUAAGAAGCAGAAACGUUAGCGUUGCCAUGGAUACAUGAGUGUUAAAUUCUGUCCAUGUUUCCAUUUUGGGAAAUGCAGUCCAGUUCCAGAAUGUGGAGGAAUUUAGUCUCAAUCACAGACAACAAAUAUUAUCUGAAAGUUGGGUUAUUGUUGUUUAUCAGCACAAUACAAAAAGAUUAAUGUUAGAAAUAUUCCAGUUAAGACUCUAGAAUAUCAUGAUUUAUGUCUCAAGCAAGCAUAAGUUAUGGCAACUGGACUAACCUCGUGUGAGUCGAAAACGUUUCACCUCUCAUCCAAGAGGCUUCUUCAGUUCUGAAAGCCUGGUGGGGAGUACCAGAUAUUUAUCCACCAGGAGGGUGGUGGCAAAAACAAGUGGACAAAGACCCGCAACCAACAGACUCGUUAGGUGUUAAUGUGAGUCGUUAGCCUUUGAUGGGCGGUCGUUACCCCUCCCAGCCCUCUAGGAGGGUGGUUGGGGGUCACCUGACUGCAAGUGGGACAGAUGGCUGCACCUCCUUGGGAGGGCUCUAAGAACGGCGUUGUAAGUGGGAGACAAGUGGUGUCUGAGGCCCCCUCCUCUGUUCAAAGAUGGCCGUUCUAGUUUGACAUGAAUGGCUUCUUUUACCCCUCUCUCAAACCAUCUGUCCUCUCUGGCUAGAAUGCGCACCUUGUGGUCAUCAAAGGAGUGCCCCUUCUCCUUGAGGUGGAGGUGGACUGCUGAGUCCUGGCCUGUGGUCGUGGCCCUCCUGUGUUGUGCCAUGCGCUUGUGUAAUGGCUGCUUAGUCUCUCCAAUGUACAGGAGAUGCACAAUGAGGGACGUCUGCAGUGACUGAGAAAGAGUCUCACCACAUCCUUACAUGAGGAAAAAGACUUUAUUGAAGACUACAAUGAGGAAAAACUAUCAGACAGCAGACCGCUGCAUUCAAGGUGAGAUCUGAACAUUUGAUCUGGAACAGGAAUUCAAUAACGGCAGCAUGAGCUUCAUUUCAGUCUGUAGCUGCUGAAUUCAUGGAUGAAUCAUCUGGCACUAGAGAGGAAGACCAUCAAACAUCCACGUCAGCUGAUGGAGGUCCAAGAGUCUCACCCAACAAACAACCUACAGAGUGAAGACCUCCAAUCUGAUUGGACGGCCUCCUAUUCAGCCACGUGUGAACAAAUGCCUCUAAGCUGAUUUGUUUUCUAAAAUAAAUCUAGUUUGAGUCCUAA